rnacentral:misc_RNA from 1 species
CUUCAUUAUGGUACGUCAGUGGUAUUCAUGUUUUCUGAAGAAUAGUUCAGUUUAAAAAUAUCCUGAUAAGUAACGGAUUUAUAAGUUGCUAUAACUUGGUAAUUAGACCGAACAAAAUUUGGAAAAAUUCAUCUAUGGAAGCUGUUACAAGGUGCAUCCCCUACUUGCAGUGCUUCAGACGAUUAACAGAUUUCAUUCGUAGCUGGUGGCUUUUACUCAUAUCUUUAUUCAUGGGUCUACUUUAUUGUAUUCGAAUCCCUUUUGAUGUUCCGAAGUCCAACAGAGUUUCAACAGAAGUCACUGAUGUCUUGGGGCUAAUGUAUUUGUCAGUAUCACACUGCCUCUUCUGUUAUCUUAUAUGCCAUGAAUAGUUUGUGCGCUAAUUUCAUAUUAAUCAGCAAGCUUUAUUUUUGAUUUGUGUAAGUAUUUGUCUUCAUGUUAAAAUUAAUUG